AUCCAGAUCAAAAGCCUCUUCGGUUGGAGGAGGAAAGAGAAAGCGAGAGAGAGAGAGAGAGAGAGAGAGAGAGAGAAGGCAUACACAUCCGCUUCGAACUCAGGGAUGUUUUUCCCUCGCUCUCUCCAAAGGUCAACCGGCUAGCACGGUUGCUGCAAGGAUACCAGGAUAGAUGAUAUACCUUACCAUUGAAGGAAGCCUGGAGUAUUCAACUGGAUCUCAUAAGGAGUGAUCAUAGCAUGAACAUACUUUGCAUGCAUAAACAUCUUCAGUUGAAAGAAUCAGUCAGAAACAAUUGCUAGUUGGAAUGGACCACACUGGACGAGAGGAACAGUGGCAGUAAUGAAGGCAGGCAGGUACUGGAGCAGAGACCUGCUUGGGGCCUGCAGUUAUUGACCACCUUCUCUUGCUACUAAGUACCUAUGGAAAAAGUGCAACAGUUAGUGUAGUACACCAAUAUACUUUGGACCAUAGUCCGACCAGGUAUAAGGCAGCCCAAGUCUAGGCAAUGCUGCUUCAUUUGUAAUACUAGAAUUAUGUCAACAUGUCACAAGGUGCUUCACAUGUGAUUGUCUGUCGCACUGAAUUCAAACAUGUCUUUUGUUUCUAAUUUUGAAGGAGGAUUUUCCCCACUAAUGAAAGUUGUCUUUGUGUAGCCAAAGGAAAAAAAAGUUUGAAGCAAAGCCCAAUUAGCACCCACUUUCCCCAAAGGAAAAAAGGAAGUAUGGAUAGGAAAUGUGUGGCUUUCCAGAGAUUGUCAAACUACAGCUGCUAUCAUUCCUCACAUUGGCAAUGGGCACUUCUACAAAAGAACAUUUGUAUGGCACAAUUUUCUCCAUCCUUCAUUCAGUUGCUCUUGUUUCCUCUCAUUAUUUUUUUAAAAACAAUAUUUUGAAUCAUUA